AUACGGAGGGUGCGAGCGUUAAUCGGAAUUACUGGGCGUAAAGCGCGCGCAGGCGGCUGGGUCAGUCGGAUGUGAAAGCCCCGGGCUUAACCUGGGAAUUGCAUUCGAUACUGCCCGGCUAGAGUAUGGGAGAGGGAAGUGGAAUUUCCGGUGUAGCGGUGAAAUGCGUAGAUAUCGGAAGGAACACCAGUGGCGAAGGCGGCUUCCUGGCCCAAUACUGACGCUCAGGUGCGAAAGCGUGGGGAGCAAACAGGAUUAGAAACCCCGGUAGUCC
rnacentral:rRNA from 1 species